rnacentral:rRNA from 1 species
GGAUUAGUAAGUUGGUCGUGCCUCUGGUAUGUACUGGCUUUACUGGUUCCUCCUUCUUGAAGAACCGUAAUGUCAUUUAGUUGGUGUUGCGGGGAAACAGGACUGUUACUUUGAAAAAAUUAGAGUGUUUAAAGCAGGCAAGCGCUUGAAUACAUUAGCAUGGAAUAAUGAAAUAGGACGUUCGAUCCUAUUUUGUUGGUUUCUAGAAUCGCCGUA